GAAAAAGAUUCUUUUGAGUCAAAUGAUAAUCCAGGAGCAAAAGUAACAAGUCAAAACAAAUUGAAUUGAAAUCCAUUAUAAAAAGACCUUGAACAGAGUGGUUUUGUGUAGUGUGGAUGCUUCUUGGAACCAAUUAAUCAAGCUAUAUAAAGUAUUCCUGUAUUGUGUUGAAGAUAUAAAUUGUGAUUUUAUGUAAAAUAAAUUUGGAAAAGUUUCUAGGAGAGGGAUUAAUAGAGAGAGCAGAAUAGCAAACUGUUUUGCACGUGAUUUUAUAUAAUUACAAAAUUUUGGAACUUUUGAUUAUUGUUAUAAACAGACAUACAACAUAGUGGGAGUAAGAACUUUUUAACCUCUCUUCAAUACAUCUGAGAAAGUUCUGAGAGAUUUGAGGGUAGGAAGAUUAUGGGCACGAGUAAUAAGAGGUGCAGAGAGAGGCUCAUUUCAUUAUCUGAUUAUCUUUAAGUUGAAUGUACAGAUAGUUCUUAUGAGUUCCAGAUUUACAAGUUUUUCAAAUAUAAAGUAUAAAAAAAAAACAAAAAUAUGAAUAGUAAUUGUAAUAAAUAAGUUUUAAACAUUCAUAAAAAGGAAUUUAAACCCACAUACGUAACUAAACAAUACAGUACAAUUUGGUUUUGUAAUAAAAUCUGUCAUAUGGAUUCACAAUCUUAGGGAGAUAGAACUUGAAGAUAUUCUAUGCUUUUGUAGAUCUUGAAGUAUUUGACAAGAAUGAAUAGUAGUAAUCUGUGGAAAGUGCUGAGGGUAUAUGGUGUGAAUAAACAGCUGUUUGAAAUAGUGAGUGUGAUGUAUGCUAACAGUUCAAGUAUGAGAGUAAAUGAAGAAAUGACAGAUUGGUUUACAAUCAAGGAAAGGUGUGUGAUGUACUUAUGGUUGUUUAAUAUACAUGGAUGCAUAUGUGAGGGAAAUCAUAGUAAGGGAAUUAGGAAUAAAAAUGGAUGAUGAAAAUGUUGUGCUGUCUGCCGUAUACUGAUGGCACUGUUCUUUCUGAGAGUGAACAAGGUUUCACAAUUGAAUGAGGCAUGUCAGAGGAAACAGAUGAGAAUAAGUAUAGAGAAGACAAAAAUACUUUUAUUUGAG
rnacentral:lncRNA from 1 species